UACGAAGGGGGCUAGCGUUGCUCGGAAUCACUGGGCGUAAAGCGCACGUAGGCGGACUCUUAAGUCGGUGGUGAAAUCCUGGAGCUCAACUCCAGAACUGCCUUCGAUACUGGGAGUCUCGAGUCCGGGAGAGGUGAGUGGAACUGCGAGUGUAGAGGUGAAUUCGUAGAUAUUCGCAAGAACACCAGUGGCGAAGGCGGCUCACUGGCCCGGUACUGACGCUGAGGUGCGAAAGCGUGGGAGCAAACAGG
rnacentral:rRNA from 1 species